CCUACUGGUGACAUCAGUGAGGAGUAUCGGUCAAUGGGCGUAAGCCUGAACCAUCCCCUUCCCUUUCUGUCUUCCUUUUCUCUUUCUCUUCCCCCUCUUUUCUCCUUUAAUAAAGUGCGGGAUGUGUCCCGUUUUGUAUGUACCUUAUGAAUAAGGAUCGGCUAACUCCGUGCCAGCAGCCGCGGUAAUACGGAGGAUCCGAGCGUUAUCCGGAUUUAUUGGGUUUAAAGGGUGCGUAGGCGGCCUUUUAAGUCAGCGGUGAAAGUCUGUGGCUCAACCAUAGAAUUGCCGUUGAAACUGGGAGGCUUGAGUAUGUUUGAGGCAGGCGGAAUGCGUGGUGUAGCGGUGAAAUGCUUAGAUAUCACGCAGAACCCCGAUUGCGAAGGCAGCCUGCCAAGCCAUGACUGACGCUGAUGCACGAAAGCGUGGGGAUCAAACAGGAUUAGAUACCCGAGUAGUC
rnacentral:rRNA from 1 species